ensembl:scaRNA
UGGCUCAGUUUCCUGGGGGGUGGGCUCAGCCUGCCCCACCUCCCCUCAGAUGAGCCUAGAGCAGGGAGGCCGGGCUUCCUCCCCAGUGGGAGAGGCAGUUGAGACAGGAGCCUCGCCUGGGCUGUCCUUGCCUCACAUUU